rnacentral:rRNA from 1 species
UACAGAGGUGGCAAGCGUUGUUCGGAAUUACUGGGCGUAAAGCGCACGUAGGCGGCGAUCUAAGUCGGAUGUGAAAUCCCUCGGCUCAACCGAGGACGUGCAUCCGAAACUGGAUUGCUCGAGUAUGGAAGAGGGUCGCGGAAUUCUCGGUGUAGAGGUGAAAUUCGUAGAUAUCGGGAGGAACACCAGUGGCGAAGGCGGCGACCUGGGCCAAUACUGACGCUGAGGUGCGAAAGCGUGGGGAGCAAACAGG